AGAUUAAGUUAUUAAGGGCGCACGGUGGAUGCCUUGGCACUAGAAGCCGAUGAAGGACGUUACUAACGACGAUAUGCUUUGGGGAGCUGUAAGUAAGCUUUGAUCCAGAGAUUUCCGAAUGGGGAAACCCAGCACGAGUUAUGUCGUGUUAUCUGCAUGUGAAUACAUAGCAUGCAAGAAGGCAGACCCGGAGAACUGAAACAUCUUAGUACCCGGAGGAAGAGAAAGAAAAAUCGAUUCCCUGAGUAGCGGCGAGCGAAACGGGAAGAGCCCAAACCAAUAAGCUUGCUUAUUGGGGUUGUAGGACACUCUGUACGGAGUUACAAAAGAAUUUGUUAGACGAAUAACCUGGAAAGGUUAAUCAUAGAAGGUAAUAAUCCUGUAGUCGAAAACAAAUUCUCUCUUGAGUGGAUCCUGAGUACGACGGAGCACGUGAAAUUCCGUCGGAAUCUGGGAGGACCAUCUCCUAAGGCUAAAUACUCUCUAGUGACCGAUAGUGAACCAGUACCGUGAGGGAAAGGUGAAAAGUACCCCGGAAGGGGAGUGAAAGAGAACUUGAAACCGUGUGCUUACAAGUAGUCAGAGCCCGUUAAUGGGUGAUGGCGUGCCUUUUGUAGAAUGAACCGGCGAGUUACGAUCUGAUGCAAGGUUAAGCAGAAAAUGUGGAGCCGUAGCGAAAGCGAGUCUGAAUAGGGCGAAUGAGUAUUUGGUCGUAGACCCGAAACCAGGUGAUCUACCCUUGGUCAGGUUGAAGUUCAGGUAACACUGAAUGGAGGACCGAACCGACUUACGUUGAAAAGUGAGCGGAUGAACUGAGGGUAGCGGAGAAAUUCCAAUCGAACUUGGAGAUAGCUGGUUCUCUCCGAAAUAGCUUUAGGGCUAGCCUCAAGUGAUGAUUAUUGGAGGUAGAGCACUGUUUGGACGAGGGGCCCCUCUCGGGUUACCGAAUUCAGACAAACUCCGAAUGCCAAAUAAUUUAACUUGGGAGUCAGAAUGUGGGUGAUAAGGUCCAUAUUCGAAAGGGAAACAGCCCAGACCACCAGCUAAGGUCCCAAAAUAUAUGUUAAGUGGAAAAGGAUGUGGCGUUGCCCAGACAACUAGGAUGUUGGCUUAGAAGCAGCCAUCAUUUAAAGAGUGCGUAAUAGCUCACUAGUCGAGUGACACUGCGCCGAAAAUGUACCGGGGCUAAACAUAUUACCGAAGCUGUGGAUUGUCCUUUGGACAAUGGUAGGAGAGCGUUCUAAGGGCGUUGAAGCAUGAUCGCAAGGACAUGUGGAGCGCUUAGAAGUGAGAAUGCCGGUGUGAGUAGCGAAAGACGGGUGAGAAUCCCGUCCACCGAUUGACUAAGGUUUCCAGAGGAAGGCUCGUCCGCUCUGGGUUAGUCGGGUCCUAAGCUGAGGCCGACAGGCGUAGGCGAUGGAUAACAGGUUGAUAUUCCUGUACCACCAUUAUUCGUUUUAAGCGAUGGGGGGACGCAGUAGGAUAGGCGAAGCGUGCUGUUGGAGUGCACGUCCAAGCAGUGAGAUUGAGUGUUAGGCAAAUCCGGCACUCUUAAGAUUGAGCUGUGAUGGGGAGAGGAACUUGUUCCUCGAGUCGUUGAUUUCACACUGCCGAGAAAAGCCUCUAGCUAGAAUAACGGUGCCCGUACCGCAAACCGACACAGGUAGUCAAGAUGAGAAUUCUAAGGUGAGCGAGCGAACUCUCGUUAAGGAACUCGGCAAAAUGACCCCGUAACUUCGGGAGAAGGGGUGCUCUUUG
rnacentral:rRNA from 1 species